rnacentral:rRNA from 1 species
UACGGAGGGUGCAAGCGUUAUCCGGAUUCACUGGGUUUAAAGGGUGCGUAGGUGGGCAGUUAAGUCAGAUGUGAAACCCCCGGGCUUAACCUGGGAACUGCAUCUGAUACUGGGUAUCUAGAGUAUGGUAGAGGGAAGUGGAAUUUCCGGUGUAGCGGUGAAAUGCGUAGAUAUCGGAAGGAACACCAGUGGCGAAGGCGGCUUCCUGGACCAAAACUGACACUGAGGUGCGAAAGCGUGGGGAGCAAACAGG